CGGUGCGUCGCAUUAUAACUCAUGAGGGCUACAACAGCCAGACCCUGAAAAAUGACAUCGCUCUUAUGAGGCUCUCCCAACCUUUGGACAUAACAGGCUCCAGGAACAUCGGACCCGUGUGCCUCCCAAACGUGGGCCUGAAAGUCACUGCUCAUCAGAAGUGCUGGAGAACACGAUUUGGUCACAGAGCAAAUGACUCUGGAUUUCCAUACCUGAUGGAGGCUCAGGUGUCUCUCAUAGAUGCUGUAGAGUGCAACAGUUUCAUCGCCUACACGAACAGGAUAUCCCAGGAUAUGAUUUGUGCCAGAGACAUGCAAG